rnacentral:rRNA from 1 species
AUUGAACGCUGGCGGCAGGCCUAACACAUGCAAGUCGAACGAGUGGCGGACGGGUGAGUAAUGUCUGGGAAACUGCCUGAUGGAGGGGGAUAACUACUGGAAACGGUAGCUAAUACCGCAUACCAUCGGAUGGGACCAGAUGGGAUUAGCUAGUAGGGGGGGUAAAGGCUCACCGAGGCGACGAGCCCUAGCUGGUCUGAGAGGCUGACCAGCCCCACUGAAACUGAGACACGGUCCAGACUCCUACGGGAGGCAGCAGUGGGGAAUAUUGCACAAUGGGCGCAAGCCUGAUGCAGCCCUGCCGCGUGUAUGAAGAAGGCCUUCGGGUUUUAAAGUACUUUCAGCGGUGAGGCGUUACCCGCAGAGGAAGCACCGGCUAACUCCGUGCCAGCAGCCGCGGUAAUUC